GACGAACGCUGGCGGCGUGCUUAACACAUGCAAGUCGAACGAAGUGGCGAACGGGUGAGUAACGCGUAAUCAACCUGCUCUUCAGGGGGGGACAACAGUGGGAAACGACUGUUAAAACCGCAUACUGAAGACGGGGAUUGCGUCGGAGUAGCUAGUUGGAGGGGUAAAGGCUCACCAAGGCGAUGAUCAGUAGCCGGUCUGAGAGGAUGAACAGCCACAUUGGGACUGAGACACGGCCCAGACUCCUACGGGAGGCAGCAGUGGGGAAUAUUCCGCAAUGGAGGAAAGUCUGACGGAGCAACGCCGCGUGAGUGAUGAAGGCCUUCGGGUUGUAAAGGACUUUUGUCAGGGAAGCGGUACCUGAAGAAUAAGCACCGGCUAACUACGUGCCAGCAGCCGCGGUAAUUC
rnacentral:rRNA from 1 species